CAGCCGCCGCGGGAAUACGUAUGUCACAAGCGUUAUCCGGAUUUAUUGGGCGUAAAGCGCGUCUAGGUGGUUAUGUAAGUCUGAUGUGAAAAUGCAGGGCUCAACUCUGUAUUGCGUUGGAAACUGUGUAACUAGAGUACUGGAGAGGUAAGCGGAACUACAGGUGUAGAGGUGAAAUUCGUAGAUAUUUGUAGGAAUGCCGAUGGGGAAGCCAGCUUACUGGACAGAUACUGACGCUAAAGCGCGAAAGCGUGGGUAGCAAACAGGAUUAGAUACCCCGGUAGUCCCUGUCUCUUAUACC
rnacentral:rRNA from 1 species